GACCAAGAAGUCUAACAUGUGUGCGAGUCAUUGGGUAUAUGUUGAAACCUAAAGGCGAAAUUAAAAUAACUAUUUUAAUAAAAAAUGGGAUCACAAAUGAUAAAUUUUUGCAAAGAAAUUAUUGUUUCUCAAUCCCGGGGCGUUCUAUAUUAAACAUGUUUUAAGCAAUUAAAUCCUCUGUUUAAGAGCGUACCUUGAGCAUACAUGCUGUGACCCGAAAGAUGGUGAACUAUACCUGAUCAGGUUGAAGUCAGGGGAAACCCUGAUGGAGGACUGAAGCAGUUCUGACGUGCAAAUCGAUUGUCAGAAUUGGGUAUAGGGGCGAAAGACUAAUCGAACCAUCUAGUAGCUGGUUCCUUCCGAAGUUUCCCUCAGGAUAGCUGGUGCAAUAAAAACUAAUAUAUAUAUAAUCUUAUCUGGUAAAGCGAAUGAUUAGAGGCCUUGGGGCCGAAACGACCUCAACCUAUUCUCAAACUUUAAAUGGGUAAGAACCUCAUCUUUCUUGAGCUGAAGAUAUAGAGGUUUAGAUAUAUUGUGCUCAGUGGGCCACUUUUGGUAAGCAGAACUGGCGCUGUGGGAUGAACCAAACGUAAUGUUACGGCGCCUAAAUUAAUGACUCAUGUUGAUACCAUGAAAGGUGUUGGUUGCUUAAAACAGCAGGACGGUGGACAUGGAAGUCGUAAUCCGCUAAGGAGUGUGUAACAACUCACCUGCCGAAGCAACUAGCCCUUAAAAUGGAUGGCGCUUAAGUCAUAUGCCUAUACAUUACCGCUAGAAUAAAUAUAAAUUUUUUGUUAAAAAAAAUAAUUCAAUAUAAAAUUCUAGUGAGUAGGAAGGUACAAUGGUGUGCGCAGAAGUGUUUGGCGUGAGCCUGCAUGGAGCCGCCAUUGGAACAGAUCUUGGUGGUAGUAGCAAAUAAUCGAAUGAGAUCUUGGAGGACUGAAGUGGAGAAGGGUUUCGUGUGAACAGUGGUUGAUCACGAGUUAGUCGGUCCUAAGCUCUAAGCGAAAGCUGUUUAAUUUUAUGUUUCAAAAAAGUUUUAUAUAUUGAUAUAAAAAAUGUUGUGUGUAGUACAUAUUAUUAAUUAAAAAGAGCGAAAGGGAAUACGGUUCCAAUUCCGUAACCUGUUGAGUAUACGUUUGUUUAUUAAAAAUGGGUCUCAAUACACUCAUCCUGGUAACAGGAACAACCAUAGAGAAGCCUUCGAGAGAUACUGGAAGAGUUUUCUUUUCUGUUGAACAAUUGUAUCACCAUGGAAGUCUUUCAUAGAGAGAUAUGGUGAAUGGAUUGGAAGAGCAUGACAUUUACUGUUGUGUCAGUAUUUUCUCCUUGGACCUUGAAAAUCUAUGGUGGGGCCACGCAAACAUCUCAACAGACCGUACCGAUAUCCGCAG
rnacentral:rRNA from 1 species